rnacentral:rRNA from 1 species
CAGCCGCCGCGGUAAUACGUAGGGGGCAAGCGUUGUCCGGAAUCAUUGGGCGUAAAGCGCGUGUAGGCGGCUCGAUAAGUCUGCUGUGAAAGUCCAGGGCUCAACCCUGGAAUGCCGGUGGAAACUGUCGAGCUAGAGUACGGAAGAGGCGAGUGGAAUUCCUGGUGUAGCGGUGAAAUGCGCAGAUAUCAGGAGGAACACCAAUGGCGAAGGCAGCUCGCUGGGACGUUACUGACGCUGAGACGCGAAAGCGUGGGGAGCAAACAGGAUUAGAUACCCCAGUAGUCCCUGUCUCUUAUAC